GGAGUAUCACUAUUCAAUACUCU
rnacentral:siRNA from 1 species